rnacentral:tRNA from 1 species
GGGCACGUAGCUCAAGUGGUAGAGCAACUCGCUUACAACGAGAAGGUUAGUGGUUCGAGUCCACUCGAGCUCA